GAUGAACGCUGGCGGCGUGCCUUAAUACAUGCAAGUAGAACGCUGAAGCUUGGUGCUUGCACCGAGCGGAUGAGUUGCGAACGGGUGAGUAACGCGUAGGUAACCUGCCUCUUAGCGGGGGAUAACUAUUGGAAACGAUAGCUAAUACCGCAUAAAAGUCGAUAUCGCAUGAAGUUGACUUGAAAGGUGCAAUCGCAUCACUAAGAGAUGGACCUGCGUUGUAUUAGCUAGUUGGUGAGGUAACGGCUCACCAAGGCGACGAUACAUAGCCGACCUGAGAGGGUGAUCGGCCACACUGGGACUGAGACACGGCCCAGACUCCUACGGGAGGCAGCAGUAGGGAAUCUUCGGCAAUGGGGCAACCCUGACCGAGCAACGCCGCGUGAGUGAAGAAGGUUUUCGGAUCGUAAAGCUCUGUUGUAAGAGAAGAACGAGUGUGAGAGUGGAAAGUUCACACUGUGACGGUAACUUACCAGAAAGGGACGGCUAAUAC
rnacentral:rRNA from 1 species